GGGACCAUCCUGCCUGCUGUGG
rnacentral:miRNA from 1 species